AGGAAAGAAUGGAGACCGUGCAGCAGCUGAGUUUCUCAUCUGCAAGAGGCUGGCUUUGGCCAGAGGAAAUGACAGAGAAUGGGGCAGAGGUAUCCAGUGUGUAGAAGACUUUGCUUGACAUUCAGCCUUUCAACUGAUUCUGAAGACAGUCCCAGCAAAACCACCCAACAGCUGUACGAUCUCACUGCACUCACUUGUUUAAAAAGAGAUACUGAAAGAUACUCAAAGAAAUCAACUCACCUGAUACACCAUGGGAAGAGAUUUGAGUAUAGCCCCAAAACUUGUGGUCUGAACAUCAGUUAACAGCUAUGCUUCUUAUGGUAAGUUGUUUUUAGACCAAGAGCACUUGAGAGAUGUGCAGAGAAAAUUAAGAUUGCAUAUUGAUGGAAAAAAUGUAAAAUGCUCUGAAAUAUAGGAGAUAGGGUGAUGGAGACUGACCCCAGUCACCUAUUAUUUGUGUAAUUUUAAUUACUCUCCCUUUAAUUUAAGCAGCUGACACACACCUUCAGUGGUGUUCAGAAAGUUAAUAGGGCAGCUGAGUAAGGAUUUUAAGGUCAUAUUCUUGUCCUUUGGUGCUUAUUUUAUUUAUUAGCUGCUGCAUUAAUAUUCUUAUGAUUACAGAAAUGAUCAUUUAUGUAUAUAAUGCAUCUUAUGAUAGUAUACAUUGAUGAAUAUUAUGUUUAUUUCUGAAUAUGUCUUCUUGAUAUUUUAGUAGUAAAUUCACAGAAAUGUAACAGCAUUUGUAUCAAGUUUCUUCCUUCUUUACAUUAUUUUUUAAUUAUGGUAUGUAGUCAUCAGUUUGCUGACAAUAAUUUUCCCAAAUGUCACUCUUUGAUUCCACCCUUCCCAACUGAAAUUAAAAUAUUGACAGAAAUCAUUUAGCAUGAGCAGUGAAAAAAUUCAAAGAGGCAUUUAAAGUAGAGGAAGUUCUACAUGUAUCCCUUCUAUAUAUGUACAUUUGUGACUCAUUUCCAGUUACAUAAAGAGUAAUGUGUGUAAAAUUAGUGUGCUGUCUCAUGUUUGUCUUGCAUGUAGAUAAGGGAUGACAUUUAAUUGAAGUUAUUUUUUUUAAAUCAAACAAACUACUAUUUGCAAUAUAAAAAUAGAGAGAACCUAAUGUUUCUGAUAUGUUCAGUGGAGUUGAAGGGGAACUGGUAGAUUACCAGUGUGAAUGGAGUUUGGCUUGUUUCUUUCUUAAAUCUUUUACCCAAUUUAUACACCCUCAUGCCUAUGUAUCUCUGUCUUUGUUGAUCAGCACUGUGCAGGAAGGGAAAGCAAACACAGCUCAUGGAACUGGCUGAGGUUCUGCAGCAUGCAGCAGUAGCUCUCAAAAAUAAAGGUGCUCCAAGCACAUGGUUAUCCA
rnacentral:lncRNA from 1 species